rnacentral:sRNA from 1 species
AAACUUUCAACAACGGAUCUCUUGGCUCUCGCAUCGAUGAAGAACGCAGCGAAAUGCGAUAAGUAAUGUGAAUUGCAGAAUUCAGUGAAUCAUCGAAUCUUUGAACGCAACUUGCGCCCUCUGGUAUUCCGGAGGGCAUGCCUGUUUGAGUGUCAUGUAGACUCAAUCCCUCGGGUUUCCGAGGAGAUUGGACUUGGGUGUCUGCCUCUUUUGGCUCGCCUUAAAAGACUUAGCGGGAUAGCACCAUAGUCGACUUAAUAAGUUUCGUCGGUGAAGGUGUGAUGUCUGCUCACAAUCGCCCUUGGGCACUUUUGACUCUGACCUCAAAUCAGGUAGGACUACCCGCUGAACUUAA